AAAAUUAUAAAAAAAAAAAAAAAAAAAGAUAAUAAACAAAGUGAUGGCUUGACCGUUGAAACACAGAAAAAUCUAAAUCUAAGUGUAUAUAAUAUUGUAUAUAUAUUUAUAUCAUGUAUUUUGUGGAAUAAACUAACACGUUUCUUACUUUGAAAACAAAAUUUAAAAAAUCAAAAGACAUUUAUACGUUUCCUUUCUUUUUACUUAACAACUUUUUACUUAACAACUUUUUACUUAAUAACUUUUUACUUAAUAACAUUGUUAAAUUUUUUUUUUUUUUUUUUUCGUUUUUCACAGGUUUGGAUAGUUAUAAACUAUUUUAACAUUACUUUGAAUGUGUGCUAUAUUUUUGAUUAUAAAUAUAUUUUUUUGGUUUCACUAGUUACAUAAGAUAUCUAACAUAUGCAUUUAGUACAUAAAAAGAAAAAAAAGUUGUAUGUUCUGUCCAAUUAGUCUGUCUUCCUGCCUGCCUGCAUAUUUGCGUUUGUUUUUUUUUUCACUUAUAUAUAUACAUCAACUUUAAAAAAAACUAUACUAUUUGUGUAAAGAGUUUAUUUUAUUUUUUUUUUGAGGAGACCUAUUUUUUUAAAAAAUGAAAGAUGUUCGAAAAGAGAUAAAUCAUAUAAAAGAAUUUAUUGACACAUUUUGUUUUGCAAAAAAUGUAAAGAUAGUUACUGAUGAAUCAGUUCUAAAAAAAAUUAACAAAACAUCUAAAGAAAAUAACACAAGUGUAGUUAAUUUGUAUUCUUCGUAUGCUUUAUGGCUGUGUAUGAAUGAAAUAUAUCCAGCAUGGUUUGAUCUUUCGAUUCAUCCUGCUCAGUUUGAUUUUGAAGCGGACGCCACCGAGUGUUUAAUCAAGUAUUUGAAUGAGUACCAUGAAAAAAAAUAUGAUAAAAUAAUAAAUAACGCGUUAAUAAAUAUUAACACCCUAACAGUAAGCCAUUUUAUUGAUAUAUACAAUUUAGUCAUACUAGCAGCUUUAGUAUCGGAUGAUAAACAAAGACAUAUAACUAAUAUUUUAUCACUUAAACAUGAAACACAAAAAUAUAUACACAAAAUUAUAGAAUAUUUAGAAAAAGAGGUAAAUGGCUUUUUUUUUUUUAAUUUUAUUUAUUUGGUUGUUGUUACCGUUGUUAGCAUUGUUAUGGUUGCUACUGUCAUUGUUAUUAUUGCUGCUAUUGUUUUUUUUUUUUAUUUUAUUUUUUUUUGA
rnacentral:lncRNA from 1 species